rnacentral:lncRNA from 1 species
AGCAAAUUGUAUGCCACAGAGGUUUGGAGAGAGAUAUUCUUUCAUAUUUUUAAGAUGAUUCAGCUGAUGUUGUCUUUAUUGCCUUUGCCUAAAGCAAGUUACAAUGUAAAAGCUGAAUGUAUUGUCAAUGACAAAAUGCCACAGCAGAAUCAGAUUUUAGAGAUGGGUGGAUUAAAAAAAAGUGAAGUAAAGCCAUUUUCUCAAAAUAAACAAGUAAAUAAUAAUCUAAACUGAAAAUUCCCAAAGAGAAUGAUAACACCACGAAGCCCUGAAUACUUGUUGCAUCCGCACCUUUUCAAUAAGAAGAAUAUCUUUGUUAGAUUAGACAGUAAACAAAUAUUUGAUAAUAAAUGAAUUAUUGUAUUAUUUAAAAGGAACAGAAUGUGGAUUAAUCAUGUCUGGAAAGUUAAAAACUAAAUAAAUUUUGUUGUCUUCAAUAUCCAGAAAUUUAUAACCAUGAAAAAGUAAAAGGCAGAAAAGAAAUACCUAGUAGAAUGUUGCAACUUCCAGCUCCUUUGUACCUAACAGGCUAGUUUGGGCUUGUUGUCAUGGAAAUAGCAGGAGUCCCAACUACAAGAGUUGCAGUGUCAAGGCCUCAUCUUAUAACUGGCACAUAGUCACUUCCACCAUAUUCUUUUUGCUAAAGAAAGUCACAAAGUCAGCCCACGUUCAAGUAGAGGGGAAAUUGACUCCACCACUUGAUGUGAAGAGUUGGAAUAUCAUAGUUAUUGUUUCCUGUGAAUUGCCAUAGCAUAUUUCCUCACACUAACAACUCUGUAUUUCUUCCCGAAUUCUGAAAUAUUCUUUUGUUGGCUCUUCCUAUACUGGAUUCAUUACAUUAAGUUUUCCAUUUAAGUGUUAUUUCCUUAGAAAGACUUUAUCAUUUGUCAAAUAGCUCUAUUCUCUUCAUCAGUUACUCUAUUUUCUCAAUAGAAUAUGAACUUUGUAAAAACAGGAACUUUACUUUGUUUAUGCCAGUAGUUUAUAUACAUUUUCUGUUAU